AUUGAACGCUGGCGGCAUGCUUUACACAUGCAAGUCGAACGGUAACAGGCCGCAAGGUUCUUACUAGUGGCGAACGGUUGAGUACUGCAUCGGAACGUGCCCAGUCGUGGUGUAUAAUUACUCGUAAGAGUAGCUAAUACCGCAUACGAUCUCUGGAUGACUGCGGGUGACCGUAAGGCCUCGCGCGAUCUUACCGGCCGAUGUCAGCUUAUGUAGUUGGUGGGGUAAAGGCUCACCAAGCCAACGAUCUGUAGCUGGUCUGAGAGGACGACCAGCCACACUGGAACUGAGACACGGCCCAGACUCCUACGGGAGGCAGCAGUGGGGAAUAUUGGACAAUGGGCGCAAGCCUGAUCCAGCAAUGCCGCGUGGAGGAAGAAGGCCUUCGGGUUGUAAACUGCUUUUGUACGGAACGAAACGGCUCUGGCUAAUACCCGGGGCUAAUGACGGUACCGUAAGAAUAAGCACCGGCUAACUACGUG
rnacentral:rRNA from 1 species